GGGUGCGAUCAUACCAGCAAUAAUGCACCGGAUCUCAUUAGAACUCUGAAGUUAAGCUUGCUUGGGCGAGAGCGGGUUAUCCCACGUGUGCAUGCCUUA
rnacentral:rRNA from 1 species